rnacentral:rRNA from 1 species
UACGUAGGGUGCGAGCGUUGUCCGGAAUUAUUGGGCGUAAAGAGCUCGUAGGCGGCCCUGUCGCGUCGGUUGUGAAAGCCCCGGGGGCUUAACCCCGGGUCUGCAGUCGAUACGGGCAGGCUAGAGUUCGGUAGGGGGAGAUCGGAAUUCCUGGUGUAGCGGUGAAAUGCGCAGAUAUCGGGAGGAACACCUAUGGCGAAGGCAGCUCGCUGGGACGUUACUGACGCUGAGACGCGAAAGCGUGGGGAGCAAACAGG